GCCGCCGUAGCACAAAGGUAGUGCAUUGCCUUCCUAAAUAAAGUACGUUAGGCAAAGGUUGUGGGUUCGAGCCCCAUCGGCGGUU